GCCGCGUUGGCGUAGUGGUAGCGCGUCGCACUUGUAGGUUACAUGGUUACUACGUCAUGCGAAGGUCACUCGUUCAAUCCGGGUACGUGGCA